CCUAUGGGGUGCAGCAGGCGCGAAAACUUCACAAUGGGGGCAACCCCGAUGAGGGAAUUCCAAGUGCUAGCACUUUUUGUGUUAGCUGUUCUAUUGUCUAAAAAACAAGAGAAGUAAGGGCCGGGUAAGACGGGUGCCAGCCGCCGCGGUAAUACCCGCGGCCCGAGUGGUGGUCGAUAUUAUUGAGCCUAAAACGUUCGUAGCCGGUCUUGUAAAUCCUUGGGUAAAUCGGCCAGCUUAACUGUCCGAAGUCCGGGGAGACUGCAAGACUUGGGAUCGGGAGAGGUCAGAGGUACUUCUGGGGUAGGGGUAAAAUCCUGUAAUCCUAGAAGGACCACCGGUGGCGAAGGCGUCUGACUAGAACGAAUUCGACGGUGAGGAACGAAGCCCUGGGGCGCAAACGGGAUUAGAUACCCCCGUAGUCC
rnacentral:rRNA from 1 species